rnacentral:rRNA from 2 species
UUAAAGAAGAACAUAUCUGAGAGUAACUGUUCAGGUAUUGACGGUAUUUAACCAGAAAGCCACGGCUAACUACGUGCCAGCAGCCGCGGUAAUACGUAGGUGGCAAGCGUUGUCCGGAUUUAUUGGGCGUAAAGCGAGCGCAGGCGGUUUUUUAAGUCUGAUGUGAAAGCCUUCGGCUCAACCGAAGAAGUGCAUCGGAAACUGGGAAACUUGAGUGCAGAAGAGGACAGUGGAACUCCAUGUGUAGCGGUGAAAUGCGUAGAUAUAUGGAAGAACACCAGUGGCGAAGGCGGCUGUCUGGUCUGUAACUGACGCUGAGGCUCGAAAGUAUGGGUAGCAAACAGGAUUAGAUACCCUGGUAGUCCAUACCGUAAACGAUGAAUGCUAAGUGUUGGAGGGUUUCCGCCCUUCAGUGCUGCAGCUAACGCAUUAAGCAUUCCGCCUGGGGAGUACGGCCGCAAGGCUGAAACUCAAAGGAAUUGACGGGGGCCCGCACAAGCGGUGGAGCAUGUGGUUUAAUUCGAAGCUACGCGAAGAACCUUACCAGGUCUUGACAUACUAUGCAAAUCUAAGAGAUUAGACGUUCCCUUCGGGGACAUGGAUACAGGUGGUGCAUGGUUGUCGUCAGCUCGUGUCGUGAGAUGUUGGGUUAAGUCCCGCAACGAGCGCAACCCUUAUUAUCAGUUGCCAGCAUUAAGUUGGGCACUCUGGUGAGACUGCCGGUGACAAACCGGAGGAAGGUGGGGAUGACGUCAAAUCAUCAUGCCCCUUAUGACCUGGGCUACACACGUGCUACAAUGGAUGGUACAACGAGUUGCGAACUCGCGAGAGUAAGCUAAUCUCUUAAAGCCAUUCUCAGUUCGGAUUGUAGGCUGCAACUCGCCUACAUGAAGUCGGAAUCGCUAGUAAUCGCGGAUCAGCAUGCCGCGGUGAAUACGUUCCCGGGCCUUGUACACACCGCCCGUCACACCAUGAGAGUUUGUAACACCCAAAGUCGGUGGGGUAACCUUUUAGGAACCA